GGUCCUAUAGCUCAGUGGUAGAGCAUACGAUUGCAGUUCUCGUCCUUGGUAUUUCUUAUCGUGCGGUCGCGUGUUCGAACCACGCUGGGACCU
rnacentral:tRNA from 1 species